CAUAAAAGUGAUGUCUGUUAACUCAGAGAAGGGUCUGUUAAAAAAUGUCAUCAGAAAAGAUUUAUGAUUAGGGAAUUUUGUUUGCUCACAGUCAUAUCUUGAAGUUUUUGAAGACACUUGGGACUCUAGAUCUGUGUUGAUUGAUUUUAAUUCUCAAAGUACACAACCUAGGAUCACCUGUGAAGAGAGUCUCAAUGAGAGGUUAUCAAAGCCAGGUUCCACUGUCUGAACAAGGCGCACUGAAGGUCAGGUGACCAUCACAAGAACACUCGGGGCAUAAAGCAUAGUCAAGCUGUAGCAGCCAGACUUGCCUAUUUUGAAGAACAACGCACAGAGACACACGUCUAUACAAAAUGAAGGAAGAAAGAUAUAGAUGCAGUGGGAACGACUCAGGCAAGAUAUAGACAGUCAAACUGAUGGGUUAGAAAAGCAGCUUUGACAGCAGGGAUUCGGACUGUAUAAACUCAUAAAAGACGAAGACGCAAACAAUCCCCACAAAACCAGGAGAACUGAAAGCUAGCUGAAGAACACGGCACAAGUAAAGAUGUUGACAUGCAGAGUGAAGAAAGAGGAGCUGUGAGUUAUUUGAUAACAGAUUUAAAUCUGAGAGGAACACAGAAGCCCUCUCUGCUCUCCCCACCCCCAUCCUGGAAGGUUCUAGAAGACAGAGACCUAUGCAGUCCUUCAGUUUUAGCUUUUAGCAUUCCUGAAAAUUGCUUUUCCGGCAUGUCUGUGAAUCCUGAUACCUUGCAGUCCAGAUGUGUUGAAGGCAUUAUUUCUGAAAGCAUGGCACUUCCUAGUGGUCACUCAGAAGCUGUGAUGGCCAAGACCGUCAUUUAGAACAAAAUGAACUUUGUUAAUUCAUUUUACAAGGGACCCGACAUACAUACAUACAUACAUACAUUAUAUAUAUAUAUUUCUCUGGACUUGGGUCUGUACUAUAGACUCAGAUAGAGCAAGGAGUUUCAAGUCUCUAUAUCCACACAACUCAGAGGUUAGUGAGCAAAAGAUAAAAUACCUGGGCGUACCUGGGCACCAUGGCACACGAAUGUAAUCCCAGGACUCAAGGAGGGAAAAGCAGGUGGAUCUCUGUGAGUCUGAGGCCAGCCUGGUCUACAAAGGGAGCCCAGGACAGCCAAGGCUACACAGAUAAGCCCUGUCUUGAAACAAAACAGUGAGAGUGCAUUGAGAGGCUAAAAAUGAAAUCUGAUAGUUCAUUAUCGAAAUCAGAACUACCUUGAGUCAGCUUAGUUCCAGCUAGAGAUGAACAAGACUCAUGGGUUCUGCCAGCCUGCUAAGUCGGCUCUACCCCACUCAAGCUCUGCUAGUCUAGUAUGCUCCACCCACCUAAACUAGAAAUGCAGAGAACCACCAACAGUCAAGCUCGCCUGGAGACCUGCAGAUCUGAGAAGGUCAUGCAGCUGGCAAGAUUUCAAAUACUCAGGACGUAUAAUUUAGAGACGAACCCACACGUGACCUGUAAGUGGCAGAGGAAAGAUCAGAUUGACAUGAUGGCAACGAUUGUACCCCCCUGGUCACUCAGUAUUAGAGGGAGGCGGGGCCUGCGCCAGGGUUGUGAGGAUGCUUCUUGGCCCUCAAGCAGUGAGCCCUCCAUUCUGAGCUGAUGCUGCUUCUGCAAAGCUGUGAAAUAAACUGUCCGGGUUUCCUGACGGAGUCCCUGGUGUUCUUGUGACGGGGGAGCCUGUUCUCUCACGGAGUGAGAUGGUUCAUCCGAAUUGUCGCCUCGACUGAACCUGCAGUCACCUUCGAAAGGGGCCUCUGAGUGUGUCCAUGUGGGUGUUUCCGGAAAAGCUUAACUGAGGAGGAAACAGCCCACCUUGAGUGUAGACAGCAACACCCACAGGCUGGGAUCCCCAGGUCGGACUCUCAGGUGUGAUCUCAGAGUCUGGCCGUGGACUAGGGAAGACUUGCGGAUUCAUCAUAAGUGGGUAGAGGACCAAAUCUGGAACCCUCCGUGUUCCUGAGCUCUGAGGAGAAAAGCACCACUGAGAAUUGGCAUGGGCCAUCAGGUCAUCGUCCUCUCACGGCCCCAGUACAAUUCAUGACCCGCCAGGUCCUGCCAAAACUCCUCUCUGAAAAGAAGUUACUCAGCUCCUAAAAGAUUCUGUUCCAUUCUUGAACUGCCUUAGCAGUUCAUCUUUCCUUUUUAAUUUUUCAUUAAGUUGGAAUUUGAAUACCUGAAAUAUUUAUUCACUAGUCAUUACUCAGUCUUAAGAAACCACAUAGGAAGUCCACCCAUGAGGUGUUACACAGCCCAGAGACAGCCAGCGUUGCUGAGGGAGUGCAACUCUGAUACACAUCAGAUCUGGUGCUCAGGGGCUGCCGUUCACACUUGGCUUUCCAAGCCCGCUCUACCCUAUGCUCCUCUUACAGGUCCUGUGGUUGUUAGUGAUAUCCUAGGAAAACCUGUGUCUGCACGAAUCAGCCAUAGACCUUAAUCAAAAGCAAAACAGAUGCACAGAUAUUGUUUAUAACUUCACAACUUUUCCCCUGACAAGAUCUAAAAGACAGUACAAGAAUCAUGUGCAGUGCUCCUUAGGCAUGCAACAACAUUUGUUUUAACUCAAGAAGCAGGGAUGGAAAAAAUGAGCUAGCUGGCAGUGUGUUUCCCAUGGAAGUAUGAGAAACUGACUUUGGAGCUUACAGAAAGCCAUGCACAGCAGUGCACAUCUGUAAUGCUAGUGAUCCUGUGGCAAGUUGGGGAUAGAGACAAGAAAUUGCCUGCGAAGCUCAUGGACCAACUUGUCCAUCAUAUGCAAUGGCUAACAAGACUUUGCCUCAAGCUAGAUGGAAGGUCAAGAAUGACAUGCAAGAAUGUCCUCUGACUUCUACACUUAUGUCAUGGCACCUGACUCUCUCUCUCUCUAUCUAUCUAUCUUAUACAUGUACACACAGACCUUAUCCUUACCUAUACUAUGCGCGCACACACACAUAUACAAAUAGCCCUUGUACUCAGAUUUUUUGGUUCUGUUGCUAUCCUUGUGAAGUUCCUAUCCUCUCCAGAUCUUACUGCUUCCCACUUCUUUCAUAAGAUUCCCUGCACUCUGCCCAAAGGUUGCCCAUAAGUCUCAGCAUCUGCAUUGAUAGUCUGUAUGGCAGUAAAUCUGAGCACCGGGGUCUUUCCGGAGACUGAUACUCCAACUAAGUACUAUACAUGGAGAUAACCUAAGACCCCUGCACAGAUGUAGCCCAUGACACUUCAGUAUCCAAGUGGGUUCCAUUGUAAUAGGAACAGGGACUAUCUCUGACAUGAACUGAUUGGCCUGCUCUUUAAUUACCUCCCCUGAGGGGGAAGCAGCAUUACCAGGCCACAGAAAAAAGACACUGCAGCCACUCCUGAUGAGACCUAAUUGACUAGGAUCAGAAGGAAGGAAAAGAAGACCUCCCCUAUCAGUGGACUUGGGGAGGGGCAUGCAUGCAGAGGGUGGAGGAGGGAGGGAACCACAGGGGGGGAUACAAAGUGAAUAAAGUAUAAUUGAUACAGAAUAAAAAACAAACAAAAAAACAAACAAAUAGCCCUUGUAAAAGAAAUCUAUUUUAUUUGUAACUGGAAAGGGACUUCUUCAGGUUACUGAUACUGGAACAUGCCAUGCCAUUCAGUCUGAACAAGUGCAACCCUUAAUAAGGUGAGCUGCCAUUAGCCAUCAGGGAAAUGCAAAUCAAAAUGACCCCGAGAUUUCACCUUACACCCAUCAGAAUGGCCAAGAUCAAAAACUCAAGAGACAACACAUGCUGGAGAGGUUGUGGAGAAAGGGGAACCCUCCUCCACUGCUGGCGGGAAUGUAAACUUGUACAACCACUCUGGAAAGCAAUCUGGCACUUUCUCAGACAACUAGUAAUAGCGCUUCCUCAAGAUCCAGCUAUACCACUCCUAGGCAUAUAUUUAAAAGAUUCUCAAGUACACAGUAAGGACAUUUGUUCAACCAUGUUUGUAGCAGCCUUAGUUGUAAUAGCCAGAAGCUGGAAACAGCCCAGAUGCCCCUCAGUGGAUGAAUGGAUGCACAAAUUGUGGUAUAUCUACACAAUGGAAUAUUACUCAGCAAUAAAAAACAAGGAAAUCAUGAAAUUUGCAGGUAAA